AGCCCACCCAAAUGAUUUAACAACCAACAUUAAUAACCCAACAACAACUAAACCAUGUGAAACAAACCAUUUUUCCCCCUAAGUAUGGGAGACAGAAAAGGAACACUCAGGCGCCAUAGAAAAAGUACCGCAAGGGAAAGCUGAAAGAGAACUGAAAAAACCCAGUAAAGGAAAUAAAAGCAGAGACUCAACCUCGUACCUUUUGCAUCAUGAUUUAGCAAGCACUCUCCAAGCAAAGAGCCCUUUAUGUUUGAGCCCCCGAAAUUAAGCGAGCUACUCCAAGACAGCCUAUUAUAGGGCACACCCGUCUCUGUGGCAAAAGAGUGGGAAGAGCUUCGAGUAGAGGUGACAGACCUACCGAGCUUAAUUAUAGCUGGUUGCCUAGGAACUGAAUAGAAGUUCAGCCUUUUAGAUUCUCCAACCUACAAGGGUCACACCCAGCCCCGGCCCAGAGAUAACUAAAAGAGUUAUUUGAGAAAGGGACAGCUCUCUCAAAACAAGACACAACUUUACAAAGCAGGAAAAAGAUCAAAAGGUCAAAGGAAACGUACCUAAGUGGGCCUAAAAGCAGCCACCCCUGAAGAAAGCGUUAAAGCUCAAGUAUACAAACCCGACAAUUCCGACAAAAACAUCUUAAACUCCUUAACCUACUAGGCCCACCCAUGCAACCCUGGGUAAGAUCAUGCUAAAAUGAGUAAUAAGAGGGUCCCGCCCCUCUCAAGCGCACCCGUGUAAAUCAGAACGAACCCCCACUGAAAAUUAACGCCCCCAACUCCCAGAGGGUAAUGAGCCAAAACACUACAAACAAGAAAACCUCUCAACCCCGAGCGUUAACCCAACACAGGAAUGCCCCCUUGAAAGACAAAAAGAAGAAGAAGGAACUCGGCAAACAUUAGCCUCGCCUGUUUACCAAAAACAUCGCCUCUUGCCCCCAUAAUAUAAGAGGUCCCGCCUGCCCUGUGACCAAAAGUUUAACGGCCGCGGUAUUUUGACCGUGCGAAGGUAGCGUAAUCACUUGUCUUUUAAAUAGAGACCUGUAUGAAUGGCAUAACGAGGGCUAAGCUGUCUCCUUCCUCCAGUCAAUGAAAUUGAUCUACCCGUGCAGAAGCGGGUAUAAUUACAUAAGACGAGAAGACCCUAUGGAGCUUCAGACAACAGGACAGACCACGUUAAAACCCCUCAUUUUACCAGGAAAAAACCAGCUGGCCCCUGCCCUACUGUCUUUGGUUGGGGCGACCGCGGGGAAACGAAAAACCCCCACGUGGAACGGGAUUCACCCCUAAAGCCAGAGCCACAGCUCUAACAAACAGAACAUCUGACCAUAAAUGAUCCGGCAAUGCCGAUCAACGGACCGAGUUACCCUAGGGAUAACAGCGCAAUCCCCUUCUAGAGCCCAUAUCGACAAGGGGGUUUACGACCUCGAUGUUGGAUCAGGACCCCCUAAUGGUGCAGCCGCUAUUAAGGGUUCGUUUGUUCAACGAUUAAAGUCCUACGUGAUCUGAGUUCAGACCGGAGAAAUCCAGGUCAGUUUCUAUCUAUGAUAUUGCUCCUCCCUAGUACGAAAGGACCGGGAAGAGAGGGCCCAUGCUCUAAGCAAGCCCCACCCUCACCCAAUGAUACCCACUAAAACGGGUAAAAGGGCAUACCACGCCUGCCUGAGAAAAAGGCA
rnacentral:rRNA from 1 species